rnacentral:rRNA from 1 species
UAGCGACUGAACCAGCAAUUUGGAGGAAUGUACAUAUGUAUUACAUAUAUUGAUUUAUUUAAUUAAAGUUCUAGAUAAAUGAAUGAUAAUGACAACUAUUUAUCUAUAAGUCUUGACCAAAUCUUGUGCCAGCUGUCGCGGCAAGACAAGAAAGACUGCGUUAAUCAUCUUUAUUAGGUUUAAAGGGUACCUAGACGGUAAAAAUCUCUAAAAAAUAGUUAUUUACUAGAGUUAAUAUAGAAAGAGGAUAGAAUUAAUAGUGUAGAGAUAAAAUUUAUUAAUACUAUUAAUACUGGUAAAGGCGAAGGCAAUCCUUUAGUAUUAACUGACGUUGAGGGACGAAGGCGUGGGUAGCAAACAGGAUUAGAUACCCUAAUAGUCCACGCAGAAAAUUAUGAAUGUCAUAGACUAAUGGUCUAUAAAUGAAAGUGUAAGCAUUCCACCUCAAGAGUAAUGUGGCAACGCAGAAACUGAAAUCAUUAGACCGUGGCUGAGAUCAGUAGUGAAGUAUGUUAUUUAAUUCGAUAAUCCGCGAAAAACCUUACCACGAUUUGUAUAUUUAGGGAUACAAGUGUUGCACGGCUGUCUAAAGUUAAUGUCGUGAGAAAAACCAAGUGUUGUUUAAAUUAACGUAAACCCUUAUUUUAUUUAGUUUAAUAAAAU